rnacentral:rRNA from 1 species
AAGCUGUGAAGCGGAGCCAAUCCCAAAAAGCCGGUCUCAGUUCGGAUUGUAGGCUGCAACCCGCCUACAUGAGGUCGGAAUCGCUAGUAAUCGCGAGUCAGCAUAUCGCGGUGAAUACGUUCCCGGGUCUUGUACACACCGCCCGUCACACCACGGAAGUUGACAACACCCGAAGCCGAUGGGCUAGCCGCAAGGAGGCAGUCGUCUAAGGUGGGAUCGAUAACUGGGGUGAAGUCGUAACAAGGUACC